rnacentral:rRNA from 1 species
CCUACGGGAGGCAGCAGUGAGGAAUAUUGGUCAAUGGACGAGAGUCUGAACCAGCCAAGUAGCGUGAAGGAUGACUGCCCUAUGGGUUGUAAACUUCUUUUAUAUGGGAAUAAAAUGUUCCACGUGUGGGAUUUUGUAUGUACCAUAUGAAUAAGGAUCGGCUAACUCCGUGCCAGCAGCCGCGGUAAUACGGAGGAUCCGAGCGUUAUCCGGAUUUAUUGGGUUUAAAGGGAGCGUAGGUGGAUUGUUAAGUCAGUUGUGAAAGUUUGCGGCUCAACCGUAAAAUUGCAGUUGAUACUGGCAGUCUUGAGUACAGUAGAGGUGGGCGGAAGUCGUGGUGUAGCGGUGAAAUGCUUAGAUAUCACGAAGAACUCCGAUUGCGAAGGCAGUUCACUGGACUGCAACUGACACUGAGGCUCGAAAGUGUGGGUAUCAAACAGGAUUAGAUACCCUAGUAGUC